rnacentral:tRNA from 1 species
UCCGGGAUCGUCUAAUGGUAGGACCGUGGACUUUGGAUCCAUUAAUGAAGGUUCGAAUCCUUCUCCCGGAA